rnacentral:rRNA from 1 species
UACAGGGGGGGCAAGCGUUGUUCGGAAUUACUGGGCGUAAAGGGCGCGUAGGCGGAUGGCACAGUCAGAUGUGAAAUUCCCGGGCUUAACCUGGGGGCUGCAUUUGAUACGUGUUGUCUAGAGUGAGGAAGAGGGUUGUGGAAUUCCCAGUGUAGAGGUGAAAUUCGUAGAUAUUGGGAAGAACACCGGUGGCGAAGGCGGCAACCUGGUCCUUGACUGACGCUGAGGCGCGAAAGCGUGGGGAGCAAACAGG